GAUGAACGCUGGCGGCGUGCCUAAUACAUGCAAGUCGAGCGAAGCGGGGACGGGUGAGUAACACGUGGAUAACCUCCUAUAAGACUGGGAUAAAUUCGGGAAACCGGAGCUAAACCGGAUACUUAAAGCUGGAUCCGCGCAGCAGUAGCUAGUUGGUAGGGUAACGGCUAACAAAGGCAACGAUGCGUAGCCGACCUGAGAGGGUGAGCGGCCACACUGGAACUGAGAAACGGUCCAGACUCCUACGGGAGGCAGCAGUGGGGAAUCUUCCGCAAUGGGCGAAAGCUUGACGGAGCAACGCCGCGUGAGUGAUGAAGGUCUUCGGAUCGUAAAAUACUGUUAUUAGGGAAGCGGUACCUAAUCAGAAAGCCACGGCUAACUACGUGCCAGCAGCCGCGGUAAUAC
rnacentral:rRNA from 1 species